AUUGUAUCAACUACCAAUUAAAAAAAAACCUAAAUUGAAGAAACGUCACCGUUUAAACGAAGAUCAUUAUCGCAAUCGAAUCCGCAUCCACACUGAGGGCAUUCAAGGAAAUUCUCAGCCCCAAAACUAGCAGAAGUAAUACCCACAGAAAAAUCAAUAUCAUCACCACUCCGAAAAACCUCCACAUACUGAGCCACAAAAUCACAAUCUUGACGGAAAUACCCUUGAGUUAUAUAAGCUUAUUCUCAGAAAUCACGCCAGAGAUAGUAGACUUGUAACUAGCGUGUAACUUUCAAUAGUGAAACUACAACUUUUUUCGAAGAACACUGAAAAUUGCCCCGUUUCUCUGUUCAACGUGUACCCAAUCGCGCCUUUCG
rnacentral:lncRNA from 1 species